GGAGGCUGCAGCCUAUAGCACUCCUGUUCCAUUACCUCUGGGAAACCCUCCCCAGGUCAAAGCCUGCUGCUCCAGCAGCUGAUCAUUCAGCCAACCCAAGCACAUGUCUUAUCCACCAAGGUGAGCUGUGGCUGUACGCAGGGAGGAGAAGAUUGUACCAUCCCAUGCUGAAGAACUUCUAGUACGUGGAAGGGCCAAGCUGUUUUCCGGGCUGGAGCCAGGCGCUGUGGUUCAAAGUUCAAGGCUGUUUCAUGGAUGAGAAGGGGAAGGGGAGUCUAUGCGAGGGGCUGCUCUCACGUGCAGAACACAUUGGCUUUCUUGUUCCAGAGUGCCUGUGACUUUUAAAUGCCACACCAUGCCUUAUUAGCAAACAUUCAUUUUUGUCCUCAAGGAAAAUGACGUGCCCCUUCUGCCAGAACUGCACGUUACAGAAGGAGGAGGCUGGAGAGGAAGAAGGAAAAAUAAGCCGGAGAACACAAUUCUUUGAUGCAAGAGGGAUGGAUGCCUGGGCAGGGAGAGAAAAAAAUGGGAUGAAUGUUAAAAGAAGGUGGCAAGCCCGGUCAGCCAAAGGGCCAGGAGGACGGUAGGCGUGGCCUACUAGAGGCGGCAGGAGGGUACGCCCCCUUCCCAGCAAGCACGGCGGCUGCAGGAGCGCGGCUCCGGCCGGCUUUCUCCGGUUCUGUACCGCCCCGCCAUGGAGGAGCUUCAGAACGGCGCGGCGCGGCCCAGGCGCGGGCGGGGGAGGCGGCGGCGCCAGCCGCAGCCCCACGACGGGUCGGUCUUGGCCCUGCCCUCGAGACCCCGGAGGAUCCGCAGGCAUCGGAAAACUGCGGCGGCCCGCGUGGGCGCGCUGAGGGCUCGCACGCUGCUGCGGAAGGCCUCGGCCUCCAAGGUGGAGCCGGCCGCGGGCGCGCUGGAGGCGCCUGCCGAGCAGCGGGAGCCCUCGCGCUCGGAGCCGCGGACGGCUUCGGUGUCCGUUCGGCGCCGCGUGGAGGGGCGGCCCGCCGUCUCCCGCCUCCUGGGGACCCCGGACCCCCUUCCGGGCCCGCGCGGGGAUGACGCGGAGCGGCCGUGGGACUCGCCGCUGCAGCAGGUGUUGGCCGAGCUGAACGGCAUCCCCAGCAGCCGGAGGCGCGCCGCCCGCCUCUUCGAGUGGCUCCUGGCGCCCCUGCCCCCGGAUCACUUCUACCGGCGCCUGUGGGAGCGGGAGGCGGUGCUGGUGCGGCGGCAGGACCCCAGUUACUACGGAGGCCUCUUCUCCACCGCCGACCUGGACUCGAUGCUGCGCCACGAGGACGUGCAGUUCGGGCAGCAUCUGGACGCCGCGCGCUACAUCGACGGGCGGCGGGAGACCCUGAACCCACCGGGCCGCGCCCUGCCCGCCGCCGCCUGGUCCCUGUACCAGGCCGGCUGCUCCUUGCGCCUUCUCUGCCCGCAGGCUUUCUCGCCCACCGUGUGGCAGUUUUUGGCCGUGCUCCAGGAACAGUUCGGGAGCAUGGCCGGCUCUAACGUUUACCUCACGCCCCCCAACUCCCAGGGCUUUGCCCCCCACUACGACGACAUUGAGGCUUUCGUGUUGCAGCUGGAAGGUCGGAAACUCUGGCGUGUCUACCGACCGCGGGACCCAAGUGAGGAGCUGGCUCUGACAUCUAGUCCCAACUUCAGCCAGGAGGACCUUGGUGAGCCGGUGCUACAAACGGUGCUGGAACCUGGUGACCUGCUUUAUUUUCCUCGGGGCUUCAUUCAUCAAGCCGAAUGUCAGGAUGGAGUUCACUCUCUGCACCUCACCUUGUCCACCUUCCAGCGCAAUACAUGGGGUGACUUCCUGGAGGCUGUACUUCCCCUGGCCGUGCAAGCAGCAAUAGAAGAAAAUGUGGAGUUCCGCAGGGGUCUGCCUCGAGACUUCAUGGAUUACAUGGGGGCCCAGUAUUCAGACUCUAAGGAUCCGAGAAGAACAGCUUUCAUGGAAAAGGUGCGGGUCUUGGUUGCGCGCCUGGGACACUUCGCUCCUGUCGAUGCUGUGGCCGACCAGAGAGCCAAAGACUUCAUCCACGAUUCUCUGCCCCCGGUGUUGACUGAUCGGGAACGGGCACUGAGUGUUCACGGGCUCCCAAUUCGCUGGGAGGCUGGAGAGCCUGUCAAUGUGGGGGCCCAGUUGAGCACAGAAACAGAAGUCCAUAUGCUCCAGGAUGGCAUAGCUCGGCUGGUGGGUGAGGGAGGCCGUUUGUUCCUCUAUUACACGGUGGAAAACUCCCGUGUUUAUCAUCUGGAGGAACCCAAGUGCUUGGAAAUCUACCCACAGCAAGCUGACGCCAUGGAGCUCUUGCUUCGCUCCUACCCAGAGUUUGUGAGAGUAGGGGAUCUGCCCUGUGACAGCGUGGAAGACCAGCUUUCCUUGGCAACCAUGCUGUAUGAUAAGGGGCUGCUGCUCACCAAGACCCCUCUUGUCUGAGUUAGUGUCUUGAGGAUGGCUGGAGAAAAUGCGGUCGUGAUUCUCCUUCCACUACCGCCGGCACCUUUUUCUCCCUUAAAGAAGUCCUGGUCUUACCUUGCUGAAAAUCAGUAUGGUUACGCUUACCUUGAUGGCUGCUUGAGUGUCGCAAAGCUCGGACCCUCUUCUAGGAGGAACCUCUUCAUCUAGUUGGACGAAACUUCCCCAAAUCUGGCAAGUGCAUAUUCUCAUGGUUGGUGGAAGAGAGCCUGGUGAACCAGAAAGAGCACUUGGAAGCAGAAGAUCCGGGUUUGGGGUGGUAGCUGGUAGGCAACUGGCCGAAUGACCUGAGGUUGCUGCUUACAGAUUUUUGAGUGUACCGAGCACAGCAGAGAUGGUGACACUCUUCAGGUCCAACAGAUAAGAUGACAACAUGCUGCCUUGACUUACCAUCUUGUCACAGAUCUGCAGGGCACCUGCCGCCAAACAAGCUGCCUGCCGAAUUGCUAUGAACUCAUCAGAGAAGCAGGUCAGGAAGCUUGGGAGAAGCUUGGCUGUCAUGAGCUUGAGCACACGGAUCAGGGAGAGGGCCUCAAUCCGUUCCUGGGAAUUUCCUUGACUCAGCUUAAUCCUGGAAGACACAAGUGACUUUUAUUUCCCUUAAACUUUUCUGUGCCUUGUUCCCUUCCACCAUGCCCUCAGGAUAGAAUCCUAGCUUUGUGGGUCCAGUUGCCUGAAGACACACCUUUAUAAUCAUUUGUGGGUCCAGUUACCUGAAGACACACCUUUAUAAUCAUUUAAGUUUCACUGGGUUCAGACCUCAGGUGCCUUAUUUUCCUGAACUCCUAUUACCUCGCGUAUGGUAGACAUUCAGGUGUCUUGAACAACCAAAUAAAGGAAAGUGUCAACCUGUA